UACGAAGGGGGCUAGCGUUGCUCGGAAUUACUGGGCGUAAAGAGCGUGUAGGCGGCCAGGUAGGUCUGGUGUGAAAACUCGAGGCUUAACCUUGAGAUGUCAUCGGAAACCAUUUGGCUAGAGUCCGGAAGAGGAAAGUGGAAUUCCUGGUGUAGCGGUGGAAAUGCGCAGAUAUCAGGAAGAACACCAAUGGCGAAAGCAGCUUUCUGGGACGGUACUGACGCUGAGACGCGAAAGCGUGGGGAGCGAACAGG
rnacentral:rRNA from 1 species